rnacentral:sRNA from 1 species
UUCGACUGGUACAAAAAAGUAAUUGAAACAAAUGGUAAAGAUAUCGACUAAUAUAUCAGAAAUCCCCACUUUCAUCAUCGAAAGUGGGGAUUUUAUU